rnacentral:rRNA from 1 species
GAUGAACGCUGGCGGCGUGCUUAACACAUGCAAGUCGAACGGUGAAGGCGGAGCUUGCUCUGCUGGAUCAGUGGCGAACGGGUGAGUAACACGUGAGCAAUCUGCCCCUGACUCUGGGAUAAGCGCUGGAAACGGCGUCUAAUACUGGAUACGAGCUGCGAAGGCAUCUUCAGCAGCUGGAAAGAACUUCGGUCAGGGAUGAGCUCGCGGCCUAUCAGCUUGUUGGUGAGGUAACGGCUCACCAAGGCGUCGACGGGUAGCCGGCCUGAGAGGGUGACCGGCCACACGGGGACUGAGACACGGCCCAGACUCCUACGGGAGGCAGCAGUGGGGAAUAUUGCACAAUGGGCGAAAGCCUGAUGCAGCAACGCCGCGUGAGGGACGACGGCCUUCGGGUUGUAAACCUCUUUUAGCAGGGAAGAAGCGAAAGUGACGGUACCUGCAGAAAAAGCGCCGGCUAACUACGU